rnacentral:rRNA from 1 species
UACGGAGGGUGCAAGCGUUAUCCGGAUUCACUGGGCGUAAAGGGUGCGCAGGCGGCCAAGUGUGUCAGGUGUGAAAUCCCGGGGCUUAACUCCGGAACUGCGCCUGAAACUACUUGGCUAGAGCAUUGGAGAGGGAAGUGGAAUUCACGGUGUAGCAGUGAAAUGCGUAGAUAUCGUGAGGAACACCAGAGGCGAAGGCGACUUCCUGGACAAUUGCUGACGCUCAGGCACGAAAGCGUGGGGAGCCAAAGGG